rnacentral:rRNA from 1 species
UGAGGAAUAUUGCGCAAUGGGCGAAAGCCUGACGCAGCAACGCCGCGUGGGUGAUGAAGGCCUUCGGGUCGUAAAGCCCUGUCAGAGGGGACGAAAAUAUCCGGGUAACGCCGGAGACUGACGGUACCCUCAAAGGAAGCACCGGCUAACUCCGUGCCAGCAGCCGCGGUAAUACGGAGGGUGCAAGCGUUGUUCGGAAUCACUGGGCGUAAAGGGCGCGUAGGCGGUUUGAUAAGUCAGAUGUGAAAGCCCACGGCUUAACUGUGGAAGUGCAUUUGAAACUGUCAGACUUGAGUAUCAGAGGGGAAAGUGGAAUUCCCGGUGUAGAGGUGAAAUUCGUAGAUAUCGGGAGGAAUACCGGUGGCGAAGGCGACUUUCUGGCUGAAUACUGACGCUGAGGCGCGAAAGCGUGGGGAGCAAACA